rnacentral:rRNA from 1 species
AACGAACACUGGCGGCGUGGAUUAGGCAUGCAAGUCGAACGAGAAAGUUCCCUUCGGGGAAUGAGUACAGUGGCGAACGGGUGAGUAACGCGUGGGAAACCUGCCCAUUUGUGGGGGAUAACAGAUCUAACGAUCUGCUAAUACCGCAUACGACCUUUGGAUCGCAUGGUCUGAAGGUGGAAGGUGGCGCCUCUUCGAGAGGCUGCCGCAGAUGGAUGGUCCCGNGUCCCAUUAGCUAGUUGGUGGGGUAAUGGCCUACCAAGGCGACGAUGGGUAGCCGGCCUGAGAGGGUGUCCGGCCACACUGGGACUGAGAUACGGCCCAGACUCCUACGGGAGGCUGCAGUCGAGAAUCUUCCGCAAUGGGCGAAAGCCUGACGGAGCGACGCCGCGUGGAGGACGAAGGCCUUAGGGUUGUAAACUCCUGUCACCGAUUAUGAAUGGCAAUACGUGAAUAUCGUAUUGUUUGACGUAAGUCGGGGAGGAAGCACCGGCUAACUCUGUGCCAG